GGUGAUCUACCCUUGGUCAGGUUGAAGUUCAGGUAACACUGAAUGGAGGACCGAACCGACUUACGUUGAAAAGUGAGCGGAUGAACUGAGGGUAGCGGAGAAAUUCCAAUCGAACCUGGAGAUAGCUGGUUCUCUCCGAAAUAGCUUUAGGGCUAGCCUCAAGUGAUGAUUAUUGGAGGUAGAGCACUGUUUGGACGAGGGGCCCCUCUCGGGUUACCGAAUUCAGACAAACUCCGAAUGCCAAUUAAUUUAACUUGGGAGUCAGAACAUGGGUGAUAAGGUCCGUGUUCGAAAGGGAAACAGCCCAGACCACCAGCUAAGGUCCCAAAAUAUAUGUUAAGUGGAAAAGGAUGUGGCGUUGCCCAGACAACUAGGAUGUUGGCUUAGAAGCAGCCAUCAUUUAAAGAGUGCGUAAUAGCUCACUAGUCGAGUGACACUGCGCCGAAAAUGUACCGGGGCUAAACAUAUUACCGAAGCUGUGGAUUGUCCUUUGGACAAUGGUAGGAGAGCGUUCUAAGGGCGUUGAAGCAUGAUCGUAAGGACAUGUGGAGCGCUUAGAAGUGAGAAUGCCGGUGUGAGUAGCGAAAGACGGGUGAGAAUCCCGUCCACCGAUUGACUAAGGUUUCCAGAGGAAGGCUCGUCCGCUCUGGGUUAGUCGGGUCCUAAGCUGAGGCCGACAGGCGUAGGCGAUGGAUAACAGGUUGAUAUUCCUGUACCACCUAUAAUCGUUUUAAUCGAUGGGGGGACGCAGUAGGAUAGGCGAAGCGUGCGAUUGGAUUGCACGUCUAAGCAGUAAGGCUGAGUAUUAGGCAAAUCCGGUACUCGUUAAGGCUGAGCUGUGAUGGGGAGAAGACAUUGUGUCUUCGAGUCGUUGAUUUCACACUGCCGAGAAAAGCCUCUAGAUAGAAAAUAGGUGCCCGUACCGCAAACCGACACAGGUAGUCAAGAUGAGAAUUCUAAGGUGAGCGAGCGAACUCUCGUUAAGGAACUCGGCAAAAUGACCCCGUAACUUCGGGAGAAGGGGUGCUCUUUAGGGUUAACGCCCAGAAGAGCCGCAGUGAAUAGGCCCAAGCGACUGUUUAUCAAAAACACAGGUCUCUGCUAAACCGUAAGGUGAUGUAUAGGGGCUGACGCCUGCCCGGUGCUGGAAGGUUAAGAGGAGUGGUUAGCUUCUGCGAAGCUACGAAUCGAAGCCCCAGUAAACGGCGGCCGUAACUAUAACGGUCCUAAGGUAGCGAAAUUCCUUGUCGGGUAAGUUCCGACCCGCACGAAAGGCGUAACGAUUUGGGCACUGUCUCAACGAGAGACUCGGUGAAAUCAUAGUACCUGUGAAGAUGCAGGUUACCCGCGACAGGACGGAAAGACCCCGUGGAGCUUUACUGUAGCCUGAUAUUGAAAUUCGGCACAGCUUGUACAGGAUAGGUAGGAGCCUUUGAAACGUGAGCGCUAGCUUACGUGGAGGCGCUGGUGGGAUACUACCCUAGCUGUGUUGGCUUUCUAACCCGCAC
rnacentral:rRNA from 1 species